AGUGAACGCUGGCGGUAGGCCUAACACAUGCAAGUCGAACGGCAGCACAGGAGAGCUUGCUCUCUGGGUGGCGAGUGGCGGACGGGUGAGGAAUACAUCGGAAUCUACACUGUCGUGGAGGAUAACGUAGGGAAACUUACGCUAAUACCGCAUACGACCUACGGGUGAAAGCAGGGGACCUUCGGGCCUCGCGCGAUUGAAUGAGCCGAUGUCGGAUUAGCUAGUUGGCGGGGUAAAGGCCCACCAAGGCGACGAUCCGUAGCUGGUCUGAGAGGAUGAUAAGCCACACUGGAACUGAGACACGGUCCAGACUCCUACGGGAGGCAGCAGUGGGGAAUAUUGGACAAUGGGCGCAAGCCUGAUCCAGCCAUACCGCGUGGGUGAAGAAGGCCUUCGGGUUGUAAAGCCCUUUUGUUGGGAAAGAAAUCCAGCUGGCUAAUACCCGGUUGGGAUGACGGUACCCAAAGAAUAAGCACCGGCUAACUUCGUGCCAGCCGCCGCCGUAA
rnacentral:rRNA from 1 species